rnacentral:rRNA from 1 species
UACGAAGGGUGCAAACGUUGCUCGGAAUCAUUGGGCGUAAAGCGCACGUAGGCGGCUUCGCAAGUCGGAUGUGAAAUCCCUCGGCUCAACCGAGGACGUGCAUACGAAACUGCGGAGCUUGAGUGCUGAAGAGGAUCGCGGAAUUCCCGGUGUAGAGGUGAAAUUCGUAGAUAUCGGGAGGAACACCAGUGGCGAAGGCGGCGAUCUGGGCAGUUGCUGACACUGAGGCGCGACAGCGUGGGGAGCAAACAGG